rnacentral:rRNA from 1 species
UGGACAAACUUACAAAAAUGACCUUUUGACCUCAAAUCAGGUAGGACUACCCGCGAA